UCUUUCUUUGCUGGCGACCGGCGCACGGGUGAGUAACACGUAUCCAACCUGCCCUUUACUCGGGGAUAGCCUUUCGGAAGAAAGAUUAAUACCCGAUAGUAUAAUGAUUCCGCAUGGUUUCAUUAUUAAAGGAUUCCGGUAAAGGAUGGGGAUGCGUUCCAUUAGGUUGUUGGUGAGGUAACGGCUCACCAAGCCUUCGAUGGAUAGGGGUUCUGAGAGGAAGGUCCCCCACAUUGGAACUGAGACACGGUCCAA
rnacentral:rRNA from 1 species